GCAAAUCCUAAAACCCGUCACGACCUUACCAUCCAAACCAUCUUUAACUCUCAUCCCUCACCAUCACCAUAGCCAUUCACCGAUUACCUUACGGAGAAAUCAACACAUCCUCAUUACCAUCAUUUUCCAAAGCUCCACCCAUUACUAAACCCAUCACCAUUUCCCUCAACCUUCACUAACUCCAACCUUCAUCUCCAAAUUCUAGCACCACCACUAUUCUCACACCUUCAAGUCGUUUAAACCUUGAACCCUCACCGACCUAAUCAAUA
rnacentral:lncRNA from 1 species